CCAGCCACUGCCACCAUGCACCUGUCCCUUCUCUGUUGGCUGAUGCAAUUCAGUGGAGAGCUGAGACUGAAGCCAAGCUUAGGAAACAGAGUCGUUCUUCAUGUGGAUGGCUCUGUGCCAAAAUAAGGGAAUAGCC